UCCAGCUGUUUUGGGACUACAGUUCCCAUCAUCCCUGACCACUGGUCCCUGUUAGCUAGGAAUGAUGAGAGUUGUUGUCCCAAAACAGCUGGA